UCGCAGUUGCAAAUGAGAACUUGUUCUCAACUAGCCUACCUGGUUAAAUAAAGGUGAAAUAAAAAAAAAUAAAAAAGGGAGCAACUCAGUGAUUUUCCUACGGAACACAACAACACUUCAGUUUGUCUGUAAAAGGAACGGAGGCUAAAACUUGCCCAUCUAAAUACAGUCAAGGAAUUACACCAAGCUGUUACCGACGGGUGUAACCAUGCCUUGAGUAGGAUCGCAGACCUCAGUGCUAAGUCCAAAGAGUACAGAACAGGCCCUCACAUGGAGGAAACAGCAGCCGCUAUACCAGAUGUCAUUGAAGAACUACAGUUCGUCUUUGAUGCCGUAGAGUUUCAAAACCAAACAGCUAUGUUGAUCAUGAACACCUUGGAACGUGAUAUCACCAACUGUCAACAACGGAUGGAGCCAACAGUGGAAACUCAUUCUACUCUGUUCACAACCAGACAGGAGAAAAUGGAGGAAACCAACGUAACUAAACACUGGGUCAUUUGGUUGAAUACAAGGUGGUUUGGUUUAUGUUGUACUCACUGUAUUUGACUUUAGUAUCACUGUUAUUCCUAAUACAGAGCAUUUAGCUGGAAUUGUGGAUUUUAUCUCUUGAGACCAUGUACAAUUCUGAUUCCCCUGAAAUGUUGACUUGCCACUUGUUUUAACGUCAGGUAGGCUGAGUGCUUGAAACUAAAAAUGUUUUGAUUUCAAACAUGCCCAUUGGCAUUUGUUU